CCUAGCUCGCCCUAAUGUUACUCUCUUAAAAGAUCGGCGCCGACGCAGAGAGAGAGAGAGAGAGAGAGAGAGAGAGAGGAGCGAAGUAGAGCCAUCGAGAGCGCGAGAUGAGGGCGAAGUGGAAGAAGAAGCGCAUGAGGAGGCUGAAGAGGAAGCGCCGAAAGAUGAGGCAGAGAUCAAAGUAGAGGUCGGAAUUGAGUUGGUAGCUGCUAGGGCAUCAUCCUCCUCAUCCCCCCGGACAUGUUUCAGCGAAGCUUUGAACUUUUUGCAUUGAGUUUGAAAGGCAUUAGGAUUCCUCUUCUUAGCUGCUGAUGUUCUUUUCUUUGUUGCACUGAGAAUUAUCUUGUAAUGCACUUUUAUUUGGAUUUUUAUUUAUUCCUGCUGGUUUGUGUUUUUAAUGGC